rnacentral:tRNA from 1 species
AAUAAGAAGCAAAAUUUGCCUUUAGUUUCGACCUAAAAAUUUGAUGAUCAUUCAUCCUUAUUU